rnacentral:rRNA from 1 species
GGGGUCUAAUACCGGAUAACACCGGCCUCCGCAUGGGGGCUGGUUGAAAGCUCCGGCGGUGAAGGAUGAGCCCGCGGCCUAUCAGCUUGUUGGUGGGGUAAUGGCCUACCAAGGCGACGACGGGUAGCCGGCCUGAGAGGGCGACCGGCCACACUGGGACUGAGACACGGCCCACACUCCUACGGGAGGCAGCAGUGGGGAAUAUUGCACAAUGGGCGAAAGCCUGAUGCAGCGACGCCGCGUGAGGGAUGACGGCCUUCGGGUUGUAAACCUCUUUCAGCAGGGAAGAAGCGCAAGUGACGGUACCUGCARAARAAGCGCCGGCUAACUACGUGCCAGCAGCCGCGGUAAUACGUAGGGCGCAAGCGUUGUCCGGAAUUAUUGGGCGUAAAGAGCUCGUAGGCGGCUUGUCACGUCGGGUGUGAAAGCCCGGGGCUUAMCCCCGGGUCUGCAUCCGAUACGGGCAGGCUAGAGUGUGGUAGGGGAGAUCGGAAUUCCUGGUGUAGCGGUGAAAUGCGCAGAUAUCAGGAGGAACACCGGUGGCGAAGGCGGAUCUCUGGGCCAUUACUGACGCUGAGGAGCGAAAGCGUGGGGAGCGAACAGGAUUAGAUACCCUGGUAGUCCACGCCGUAAACGUUGGGAACUAGGUGUUGGCGACAUUCCACGUCGUCG